rnacentral:rRNA from 1 species
GAUGAACGCUGGCGGCGUGCCUAAUACAUGCAAGUCGAGCGAACAGACGAGGAGCUUGCUCCUCUGACGUUAGCGGCGGACGGGUGAGUAACACGUGGAUAACCUACCUAUAAGACUGGGAUAACUUCGGGAAACCGGAGCUAAUACCGGAUAAUAUAUUGAACCGCAUGGUUCAAUAGUGAAAGACGGUUUUGCUGUCACUUAUAGAUGGAUCCGCGCCGCAUUAGCUAGUUGGUAAGGUAACGGCUUACCAAGGCAACGAUGCGUAGCCGACCUGAGAGGGUGAUCGGCCACACUGGAACUGAGACACGGUCCAGACUCCUACGGGAGGCAGCAGUAGGGAAUCUUGCGCAAUGGGCGAAAGCCUGACGGAGCAACGCCGCGUGAAUGAUGAAGGUCUUCGGAUCGUAAAACUCUGUUAUUAGGGAAGAACAAAUGUGUAAGUAACUAUGCACGUCUUGACGGUACCUAAUCAGAAAGCCACGGCUAACUACGUG